CUAAUUAAGAAAUGAGAUCAUAUUUUAGUCUCGUUCACAGGGAAAGAAUAAAAUUCGGGCUCAAACGACCCAUUUUUAGGCCUAAUUUUCGGAUCUAGCCCAUAAUCCCUAGGCCCAUAUCCCUUAACCUAAAUAUAACCCUAAAACCCUAAGCCUAUAAAAAGGAGCUAGACCCCUAGACCUAAAAGGGGACUAUCAGCGAAAUAUACACAAAGUAUAAACCUAGACUAGAAAAGCUGACAGUGGCAGACAUAGCUGACAGUCGCAGACAUAGAGGAGACCCCCCUUGAUUUCUCAUCUCCUUCGAACCACCCCACCUCCGAACGACCCUGAGCCUCUUCUUCUUCAUUGAACCUAAACGCCAACAGAAACACACCUCUCACCAGACCUAUCGACGAGCCUACCCGCCUCACUGGACGUCGGCGACCACCCUAGAACGAGGACCCAAAGAUCUUCUUCUCCAUUUUUAAGCAACAGAACUUGGACCUCUCAAUCUUCAAGCAACGGAUCCUUCAGCAGCAAAGAACGAAAACAGAACCCAUGAUCCCCUCACUCAAACGCAUCCGGCAACACACACACAAAAGUUUAGGAUUCCUCUGAAAAAAUCGGAUUUGGAAUUCAAAGCUACAAAGAAAAAUCGCACAACUCCGGAAGAUCUGAAAACCAGGAAAAGGUUUCUGAAAAUCUGGAUUUCCAAAGGGGUUCUUGAGGUCAAGAUUUGUUGCCUUAUUGGUUUUUCCGGUCCCGUAUGAUUUCAGUUGAUUUCCGGUUCAAGGUCAGAUUAGUUCUCUCGAUGAAUUGAAUUAUUACGAUAUUGCAUCUUAUGCACUUUCUGUUCUUUUCUUUAAAGUUAGAUUCAAUAAAAUAUGAUUUUAAAUUGUGUUCUUGUCUGGUAAUUGCAUUAUUUUUGUACUAUUCUCUUCCGAAUUGCAGAUUGUUUGAAAGUAACUUCUUGAUUUCUUUUCUUAACUCAUUCUGAUUUUUGUUUGUUUGUUUGUUUCAAUUUUUAUUUUUAGUAUUGGUAACAAUAAAGAAUGUUGUCUUUCGUUUUGUGUGGCUUUUGUUGCAUAGAGAAUUUCUUUUGUGGUUACAAGGACAUAUGAUGGGUGAAAAGUUUGGGUAAUUGGCUAAUUGCAAUGAACUUAUGAUUCUUGAACGUAUGGUUGGUAUUAACUUGAGUAGAGAUUUAAUAACCAUUAAACACUUAGUAUACUUUUAGGCUACUAUCGUGGUUGUGGACACGUUCGCGUGACAUGAUUAUGAUUUCUAAAAAUAAAACCGGAGUAUGUGGUCGCACAACUUUGGCUAAAACUUUCUUAAUAAUAAUCAAGCGUUAUUAAUUAUGGACACAUUCGCGUGACAUGAUUUUUGACGUGCCAAAUAAAUGGGUACAUGUACGCGUGACCUGUUUUAAGAUAAUUUUCUUGAUUAAAAAGCGGUAAAAGGUAAAUGCACAUAGGUUCUAAAAUCAAUAAUCAAACAAUUUAAUAAGCCAAGUAUGAUCAAAGAGACUGUGCUAGAACCACGGAACUCGGGAAUGCCUAACACUUUCUCCCAGGAACAGAAUUUCUUAUAUGGAUUUCUGUGUUUACAGACCGUAAAUAGAGUCGAUUUCCUCGAUUCGGGAUUUAAACCGGUGACUUGGGAAACCAUAAACUAUCCCAAGUGGCGACUCUGAUUUUAAUUAAAUAAUCUCGUUUCGAUUGUCACUUAAAUUGGAAAAACUCCCUUAUACCCUUUCGGGGGUUGUAAAAGGAGGUGUGACAGCUCUGGCGACUCUGCUAGGGAUAAGAACCUAGAACUUCUAGUUCAGGGUUCAAGAAUUCGAGAUUGUUUUAUGAUUUUUACUUGGCUUUAUUUAUUGUUCAUAUUACUGUAUUCUGUAAACCUUUUGUGCUAAAUGAUAUCUAUUUACCGCUUUAAUAUUAUUUGAAUUAUAUAUAAUUGUCUUCUUAUGCCACCCCUCUGAGUCUUCUGAAAAUAGUGCACACGUUCGCGUAGCCCGCUUUUUUUGUAGAAAUCAUACCAAAUAGAACGAGGCUGGGCCAGCAACAAGGCCGGGUAGACUUUAGUGCUCCCGGUACGUUGCCCCACUUCGGCCCCAGUUGUCCGCUCCGGUAACCCAAGUCAGAACAAAUAAACCCCAGGAUUUAAACCUAGAAAAACAUAGCCUCAUGUCGGAUCCCUAGUAGGAACGUUUGUUUGCAUCAUGUACAUUUGACUUGGAGGACUCAACACAGGGGUUGUGUCCGUCUAGGACAGGUGUACCCCAAAAAUAAAAGACCAUCCUGAUGCAUCACUGUGCUAUAUGUUGCAUUUGUUCAAGGGUAAAAGGGUCAUUUGGCGGACCAAUUAUAGUUGAGGGCAAAGAAAAAAAAGAAAAAAAGAAAAAAAAAGGGAAAAGAAAAAGAGGGUGAAGUAUGAAAAUAAAGCAAGUAGAGCCCAAUUUGUUUUCUGUCACAAUUUUUUAAGAAAGAAAACAUGGAAAUAUUCAAAAAAGGAUUUUGCACUUUUCAUCAUUUUCCAGAAAUCAAAAAAAUCCAAAAAGAGUUUACACGUUUCAUCAUUUUUCAAAAAAAAAAAGACAAAAAACAUAUUUGCUCUAAAUUAGUUAUUUUUUUUCAAUUCUCGCCCGUAUCCAAUCUGCCCGAACUACGCAAACCUGAUUCUUGUCUUUCGGGGCGUGAUACGUAGACAACUCACAUAGGGUCCUGUCUUCCUAGUGAGUUUAGGUUCUUGGCUUCGCGGGGUCUUAGCCAAAUCUUGUAUUUUUAGCCACUUUUUGCCACAUAGGUUAAUUUUAGAAAAAUAGUCACAAUCAUGUCUUGCAUGUGUCCAACAAGAAGGGUUGUUGUCUCACAUAGUGUUCUAGGUCUUUAACUUUAUUUGGUCUUAAUUUUCUCAUACAGGUGUGAGUCUACUUACCGGAGUUUGAGCAUGAAAGACACCUUGGGACCAUCUAGUCAGGAUCGCUCCGUCAGGAGUUGCUUAAGAAGAUAUUUUUUUUAAAAUUUAUUUUUUGUGUUUUGAGACUGUUUUUUUAUGUCGUCUUUUACCUUCUAGUUUUGUACAGUAAUAUCGAGUUUCUUGUUUUUAUAUUUUCUAUUUUGUAUUUUAAAAAGAGUGCUAUAAAUCAAAAAUCCAAAAAAAAGAGAUUUUGCGUUUUAUAUUUCUGUUAGAAGUUUUAUUUAGAAUACUAAUUCUAGAAAUAAAAAAAAUUCUUUUGAGGUGGUUUUUCCUUUAGGCAGUUAAUAUCUAG
rnacentral:lncRNA from 1 species